GACGAACGCUGGCGGCGUGCUUAACACAUGCAAGUCGAACGGUAAGGCCCUUCGGGGUACACGAGUGGCGAACGGGUGAGUAACACGUGGGUGAUCUGCCCUGCACUUCGGGAUAAGCAUGGGAAACUGGGUCUAAUACCGGAUAGGACCACUGCCUGCAUGGGUGGUGGUGGAAGCUUUUGCGGUGUGGGAUGGGCCCGCGGCCUAUCAGCUUGUUGGUGGGGUGAUGGCCUACCAGGGCGACGACGGGUAGCCGGCCUGAGAGGGUGACCGGCCACACUGGGACUGAGAUACGGCCCAGACUCCUACGGGAGGCAGCAGUGGGGAAUAUUGCACAAUGGGCGCAAGCCUGAUGCAGCGACGCCGCGUGAGGGAUGACGGCCUUCGGGUUGUAAACCUCUUUCAGCACCGACGAAGCGCAAGUGACGGUAGGUGCAGAAGAAGGACCGGCCAACUACGUGCCAGCCGCCGCGGUAA
rnacentral:rRNA from 1 species